CUACUAUGUCUCUGAACGAGUACAUAUAAACAACAAAAAGUACUUUGAAAGGCAGACAUGGUUACAGUGUUUAAUAAGGUCACAGAAGAUGUAAAUGUAACCUUUAGAGGGCACCCUAUGCAAACCUACUUCUCCUCGUCCUCUUUAAAAAGCUUCCACUCUAUUCAUCUCCAGACACAAAACUUGUUUGUGACUUUGAUGCAUCAGCUUGCUCUUUUCAUAACAUGGCAAUGGAUAUUGUGCCUAAACUGGGUUUUAUCUUCAUGUUUGCUCUCAUAGAAUUCUGUUGGUGUCAAACGCUGACUGAGUCCGAGUCAGUGGUCAUUAAACCUGGAGGAUCUCACAGACUCACCUGUACAUUCUCUGGAUUUAGUAGUGACCCGUACUUAGCUUGGAUCAGACAGACUGCAGGAGGAGGUCUGGAGUGGCUGGCAUACAUCUCAGAUGGCAGUGUUUCUAAAUAUUACUCUCAGUCUGUUCAGGGACGCUUCACCAUCUCCAGAGACAACAGCAAGAAACAAAUGUAUCUGCAGAUGAAUAAUAUGAAGAAUGAAGACACUGCUGUAUAUUAUUGUGCAAGAUAGACACUGUGAUGAAUACAGCUACAGCACUGCACAAAAUCUGAAAACAACCAUAUAAACAACUCACUAUAUAAAACAUCAGUGAAUAAAUUAAACUAAUUAGAUUUUUGCUUACACAAUGCUAUCAAAUAUCUGCAGGAGAAUUUGCAUGGAGGCACGAGUCAUAUGUACUAAUUUAAUGAUGCAUUUAGUGAAGCUCUGCUGGUCAUUAUUUACUUUUGUUGAGAGCAACAUGAAUGCCCCAUACAACAGAAAUACAAGGUGAUUAUUAUUAUCUUAG